CUUGGAGGAAUGAUCGGCAAUAAGUGGUUGCACUAAGAGCUUUAGUGGAAAAUCGAUAUAAUCGAAUAAAAUUCUGGAUAGUAUUAUGAUAAUGACAUUAUCUAUUCAUAAGUCUUGACCAAAUUACGUGCCAGCAGUCGCGGUAAUACGUAGAAGACAAGUGUUAUUCAUCUUUAAUAGGUUUAAAGGGUACUUAGACGGUAAAUAAAGCCUCUAAAAGGGACUAGUUUGCUAGAGUUUUAUGUGAAAAAGUAUUAAAGUACUGCUGGUGUAGAGAUGAAAUUCUGUAAUACCUUAGAUGGCACAGGUUAUGGCGAAAGCAUCUUUUUAUGUAAAAACUGACGUUGAAGGACGAAGGCUUUGUGUCUCGAACAGGAUUAGAUACCCUAGUAGUCUAAGCAGACAAUGAUGAAUGUCAUAGAUUAGAUAAAUUUUGAUCUAUAAAUGAAAGUGUAAGCAUUCCACCUCAAGAGUAAUUUGGCAACAUUGGAACUGAAAUCAUUAGACCGUUUCUGAAACCAGUAGUGAAGUAUGUUGUUUAAUUUGAUAAUCCGCAAAAAACCUUACCACAAUAUGAAUAGAUAUAUUUUAUCAUACAAGCGUUGCACGGCUGUCUUCAGUUAAUGUCGUGAGAUUUUGGUUAGUUCCAUAAAAUUAACGUAAACCCUUACUUUAUUUUAAAAUA
rnacentral:rRNA from 1 species